UUCCGUAGGUGAACCUGCGGAAGGAUCAUUUACGCCAUAAUUAUCCUUCUUGUUGUUUCUCUUCGGAGAUUCAACAGAAACCUUAAGUCUUCUGAAGAACUUCGGUUCAGAUGAAGCGACUUCGGAUUAACCGAUUUUAAAAAAUGAAAAUUUUCAACGGUGGAUAUCUUGGUUUCCGUACCGAUGAAGAACGCAGCGAACUGCGAUAAGCAAUGCGAAUUGCAGAACCCGUGAGUCAUUUGGUCUUCGAACGCAGCAUGCACUUGAGGGCAUUUCUCUCAAGUAUGUCUAGUUCAGUGUCGCUGAUUAUAACACAACAAAAUGUCUUUGAACUGUCUAACAGUUCUCAGAUUAAGCAUGAAUGCGAAGCAUUUCAAUCCAACGAAGUAGUCACAAUUUGGUGUUUAACACCAGUCGUGAUUUCGUUGUUUAAUUGAAUUGUCCUAGCAUAGAUACGCUAGUCUUUAAACAUAAUCAAGAUCUGAUCUUAGGCAAGAGUACCCGCCGAACUUAAGCAUAUC
rnacentral:rRNA from 1 species